GCACCGGGUCCCUCAGGGGCCCACCCCUCCAACUGAAGCCCAGACGCCGUUAAACCACCACGGCAGCCCACUCCUGCAAGAAACAGCCGAAGGACAAGAUCAGCUUAAAUGUUUGUUUCAGAAUGAGGAGUCCUAAAUCACUUAGCUGUUCAUUGCCAGACCAUUUGUAAGGCUUCUCCACUGAAUCUCCAACUGAAGCUCUGCAGCCCGGGCGGACAGCAAACAAUGACUUAAG